AUGCUGGAGGUAUCAGAAGUGCGAAUGCUGACAUAAGUAACGAUAAAGCGGGUGAAAAGCCCGCUCGCCGGAAGACCAAGGGUUCCUGUCCAACGUUAAUCGGGGCAGGGUGAGUCGACCCCUAAGGCGAGGCCGAAAGGCGUAGUCGAUGGGAAACAGGUUAAUAUUCCUGUACUUGGUGUUACUGCGAAGGGGGGACGGAGAAGGCUAUGUUGGCCGGGCGACGGUUGUCCCGGUUUAAGCGUGUAGGCUGGUUUUCCAGGCAAAUCCGGAAAAUCAAGGCUGAGGCGUGAUGACGAGGCACUACGGUGCUGAAGCAACAAAUGCCCUGCUUCCAGGAAAAGCCUCUAAGCAUCAGGUAACAUCAAAUCGUACCCCAAACCGACACAGGUGGUCAGGUAGAGAAUACCAAGGCGCUUGAGAGAACUCGGGUGAAGGAACUAGGCAAAAUGGUGCCGUAACUUCGGGAGAAGGCACGCUGAUAUGUAGGUGAAGUCCCUCGCGGAUGGAGCUGAAAUCAGUCGAAGAUACCAGCUGGCUGCAACUGUUUAUUAAAAACACAGCACUGUGCAAACACGAAAGUGGACGUAUACGGUGUGACGCCUGCCCGGUGCCGGAAGGUUAAUUGAUGGGGUUAGCGCAAGCGAAGCUCUUGAUCGAAGCCCCGGUAAACGGCGGCCGUAACUAUAACGGUCCUAAGGUAGCGAAAUUCCUUGUCGGGUAAGUUCCGACCUGCACGAAUGGCGUAAUGAUGGCCAGGCUGUCUCCACCCGAGACUCAGUGAAAUUGAACUCGCUGUGAAGAUGCAGUGUACCCGCGGCAAGACGGAAAGACCCCGUGAACCUUUACUAUAGCUUGACACUGAACAUUGAGCCUUGAUGUGUAGGAUAGGUGGGAGGCUUUGAAGUGUGGACGCCAGUCUGCAUGGAGCCGACCUUGAAAUACCACCCUUUAAUGUUUGAUGUUCUAACGUUGACCCGUAAUCCGGGUUGCGGACAGUGUCUGGUGGGUAGUUUGACUGGGGCGGUCUCCUCCUAAAGAGUAACGGAGGAGCACGAAGGUUGGCUAAUCCUGGUCGGACAUCAGGAGGUUAGUGCAAUGGCAUAAGCCAGCUUGACUGCGAGCGUGACGGCGCGAGCAGGUGCGAAAGCAGGUCAUAGUGAUCCGGUGGUUCUGAAUGGAAGGGCCAUCGCUCAACGGAUAAAAGGUACUCCGGGGAUAACAGGCUGAUACCGCCCAAGAGUUCAUAUCGACGGCGGUGUUUGGCACCUCGAUGUCGGCUCAUCACAUCCUGGGGCUGAAGUAGGUCCCAAGGGUAUGGCUGUUCGCCAUUUAAAGUGGUACGCGAGCUGGGUUUAGAACGUCGUGAGACAGUUCGGUCCCUAUCUGCCGUGGGCGCUGGAGAA
rnacentral:rRNA from 2 species